rnacentral:rRNA from 1 species
UACGUAGGUGGCAAGCGUUGUCCGGAUUUACUGGGUGUAAAGGGCGUGUAGCCGGGCUGACAAGUCAGAUGUGAAAUCCUGCGGCUUAACCGCAGAACUGCAUUUGAAACUGUUGAUCUUGAGUACUGGAGAGGCAGACGGAAUUCCUAGUGUAGCGGUGAAAUGCGUAGAUAUUAGGAGGAACACCAGUGGCGAAGGCGGUCUGCUGGACAGCAACUGACGGUGAGGCGCGAAAGCGUGGGGAGCAAACAGG